rnacentral:tRNA from 1 species
GGCCCCAUGGUGCAGUGGUCAGUACAUCCACCGCAUAAUUGGAAGACUUGCGUUCGAUUCGCAGUGGGAUCG